rnacentral:rRNA from 2 species
GGACGUUAGCGGCGGACGGGUGAGUAACACGUGGGCAACCUGCCCCUUAGACUGGGAUAACUCCGGGAAACCGGAGCUAAUACCGGAUAAUCCCUUUCUCCACCUGGAGAGAGGGUGAAAGAUGGCUUCGGCUAUCACUAAGGGAUGGGCCCGCGGCGCAUUAGCUAGUUGGUAAGGUAACGGCUUACCAAGGCAACGAUGCGUAGCCGACCUGAGAGGGUGAUCGGCCACACUGGGACUGAGACACGGCCCAGACUCCUACGGGAGGCAGCAGUAGGGAAUCUUCCGCAAUGGACGAAAGUCUGACGGAGCAACGCCGCGUGAGUGAGGAAGGCCUUCGGCGAUCGUAAAGCUCUGUUGUGAGGGAAGAAGCGGUACCGUUCGAAUAGGGCGGUACCUGACGGUACCUCACCAGAAAGCC